GAUGAACGCUGGCGGCGUGCCUAAUACAUGCAAGUCGAGCGAACGGACGAGAAGCUUGCUUCUCUGAGGUUAGCGGCGGACGGGUGAGUAACACGUGGAUAACCUACCUAUAAGACUGGGAUAACUUCGGGAAACCGGAGCUAAUACCGGAUGAUAUUUUGAACCUCAUGGUUCAAAAGUGAAAGAAGGUCUUGCUGUCGCUUAUAGAUGGAUCCGCGCUGCAUUAGCUAGUUGGUAAGGUAACGGCUUACCAAGGCAACGAUGCAUAGCCGGCCUGAGAGGGUGAUCGGCCACACUGGAACUGAGACACGGUCCAGACUCCUACGGGAGGCAGCAGUAGGGAAUCUUCCGCAAUGGGCGAAAGCCUGACGGAGCAACGCCGCGUGAGUGAUGAAGGUCUUCGGAUCGUAAAACUCUGUUAUUAGGGAAGAACAUAUGUGUAAGUAACUGUGCACAUCUUGACGGUACCUAAUCAGAAAGCCACGGCUAACUACGUG
rnacentral:rRNA from 1 species